GCCAAAAUUUUACAUUUCUUUGAUCUCUGUUCUUUUAUGUAGCUUCGUGAUUCAGUAAUGGCGUCCGCUUCUACAGUUCCCGCUUUCGAUUGCUUCUGUCGUUAUCUCUAUCUUUCUCAUUGCUGGCUCCAUAUCCCAAACAAAAAGUUUAGUGGAUUAUAAUAUCUGAUGCGGGCAAAAUGAAGGCAAAGAACGUUGAAUUAAGAAAUGAUGGCAACAGGAAUUAAACCAGAAGGGAUGAUAACUAUAUAUCAGCUUAUGUUCUUGACCAAAUUUUGUAAGUUUUGUGCAACAUUGAGGAUUAACUUCGAAGCAUAUAACUUGCAGGUAUGGCUUAUCAUUGUGGAAACAUACAUGCUGACAUGUUUGGUGCUCAUAUAUCUCAGAGGAACCAAAAUAAGUUCACCAGAUUCAGGCAACCUCGGGCGACGAUAUAACAAAAUGGAGAAAUCUCCACCUCCAUUGGUAAAGAACCCAAAGCUAAGAUCCGAAUAGAAAUU